AUACGGAGGGUGCAAGCGUUACUCGGAAUCACUGGGCGUAAAGCGCGCGCAGGCGGGCUGAUAAGUUGGAUGUGAAAGCCUACGGCUCAACCGUAGAACUGCAUCCAAAACUGUCAGUCUAGAGUGUGGGAGAGGAAGAUGGAAUUAGUUGUGUAGGGGUAAAAUCCGUAGAGAUAACUAGGAAUACCAAAAGCGAAGGCAAUCUUCUGGAACACUACUGACGCUGAGGCGCGAAAGCGUGGGGAGCAAACAGGAUUAGAAACCCCGGUAGUCC
rnacentral:rRNA from 1 species